rnacentral:sRNA from 1 species
AGCUCGGAGCCCGGAGCGUGCCUCGGCGGCCUAUCGGAGCUGUUUGUGACAGUUUCCAGGCAGCCCAGGGCCAAGCCGCGGCUCCUAUCUGCAGCUGCAGGGAGAGAGAGGAGGAACCCCGUGCGAUUCUAGAGACGAUUUCACGACAAGGAGAAAUCAGCUCUGUGCUUACAUGCCGAGCAGCCAGCACAGUUCUUCUUUGCCUGUCCUCGGGGGAAAUCAGGGCUCUGAGAGUGGAGAUCGAGAUGGGCUAGUGGGUGGCGGAUGGGACGCUGCACCGCCAGACCCUGGACUGUGUUUUCACCAUGGAGCAGCUGAGCUCAGCAAACACCCGCUUCGCCUUGGACCUGUUCCUGGCGUUGAGUGAGAACAACCCGGCUGGAAACAUCUUCAUCUCUCCCUUCAGCAUUUCAUCUGCUAUGGCCAUGGUUUUUCUGGGGACCAGAGGUAACACGGCAGCACAGCUGUCCAAGACUUUUCAUUUCAACACGGUUGAAGAGGUUCAUUCAAGAUUCCAGAGUCUGAAUGCUGAUAUCAACAAACGUGGAGCGUCUUAUAUUCUGAAACUUGCUAAUAGAUUAUAUGGAGAGAAAACUUACAAUUUCCUUCCUGAGUUCUUGGCUUCGACUCAGAAAACAUAUGGUGCUGACCUGGCCAGUGUGGAUUUUCAGCAUGCCUCUGAAGAUGCAAGGAAGACCAUAAACCAGUGGGUCAAAGGACAGACAGAAGGAAAAAUUCCGGAACUGUUGGCUCCGGGCAUGGUUGAUAACAUGACCAAACUUGUGCUAGUAAAUGCCAUCUAUUUCAAGGGAAACUGGAAGGAUAAAUUCAUGAAAGAAGCCACGACGGAUGCACCAUUCAGAUUGAAUAAG